UGGGGAAUAUUGGACAAUGGGCGCAAGCCUGAUCCAGCCAUGCCGCGUGAGUGAUGAAGGCCCUAGGGUUGUAAAGCUCUUUCACCGGUGAAGAUAAUGACGGUAACCGGAGAAGAAGCCCCGGCUAACUUCGUGCCAGCAGCCGCGGUAAUACGAAGGGGGCUAGCGUUGUUCGGAUUUACUGGGCGUAAAGCGCACGUAGGCGGACUUUUAAGUCAGGGGUGAAAUCCCGGGGCUCAACCCCGGAACUGCCUUUGAUACUGGAAGUCUUGAGUAUGGUAGAGGUGAAUGGAAUUCCGGGUGUAGAGGUGAAAUUCGUAGAUAUUCGGAGAAACACCAGUGUCGAAGUCGGCUCACUGGACCAUUACUGACGCUGAGGUGCGAAAGCGUGGGGAGCAAACAGG
rnacentral:rRNA from 1 species